rnacentral:rRNA from 1 species
GACGAACGCUGGCGGCGUGCUUAACACAUGCAAGUCGAACGGAAAGGCCCUGCUUUUGUGGGGUGCUCGAGUGGCGAACGGGUGAGUAACACGUGAGUAACCUGCCCUUGACUUUGGGAUAACUUCAGGAAACUGGGGCUAAUACCGGAUAGGAGCUCCUGCUGCAUGGUGGGGGUUGGAAAGUUUCGGCGGUUGGGGAUGGACUCGCGGCUUAUCAGCUUGUUGGUGGGGUAGUGGCUUACCAAGGCUUUGACGGGUAGCCGGCCUGAGAGGGUGACCGGCCACAUUGGGACUGAGAUACGGCCCAGACUCCUACGGGAGGCAGCAGUGGGGAAUAUUGCACAAUGGGCGGAAGCCUGACGCAGCAACGCCGCGUGCGGGAUGACGGCCUUCGGGUUGUAAACCGCUUUCGCCUGUGACGAAGCGUGAGUGACGGUAAUGGGUAAAGAAGCACCGGCUAACUACGUGCCAGCAGCCGCGGUGAUACGUAGGGUGCGAGCGUUGUCCGGAUUUAUUGGGCGUAAAGGGCUCGUAGGUGGUUGAUCGCGUCGGAAGUGUAAUCUUGGGGCUUAACCCUGAGCGUGCUUUCGAUACGGGUUGACUUGAGGAAGGUAGGGGAGAAUGGAAUUCCUGGUGGAGCGGUGGAAUGCGCAGAUAUCAGGAGGAACACCAGUGGCGAAGGCGGUUCUCUGGGCCUUUCCUGACGCUGAGGAGCGAAAGCGUGGGGAGCGAACAGGCUUAGAUACCCUGGUAGUCCACGCUGUAAACGGUGGGUACUAGGUGUGGGGUCCAUUCCACGGGUUCCGUGCCGUAGCUAACGCUUUAAGUACCCCGCCUGGGGAGUACGGCCGCAAGGCUAAAACUCAAAGGAAUUGACGGGGCCCCGCACAAGCGGCGGAGCAUGCGGAUUAAUUCGAUGCAACGCGUAGAACCUUACCUGGGUUUGACAUGGAUCGGGAGCGCUCAGAGAUGGGUGUGCCUCUUUUGGGGUCGGUUCACAGGUGGUGCAUGGCUGUCGUCAGCUCGUGUCGUGAGAUGUUGGGUUAAGUCCCGCAACGAGCGCAACCCUUGUUCACUGUUGCCAGCACGUUAUGGUGGGGACUCAGUGGAGACCGCCGGGGUCAACUCGGAGGAAGGUGGGGAUGACGUCAAGUCAUCAUGCCCCUUAUGUCCAGGGCUUCACGCAUGCUACAAUGGCUGGUACAGAGAGUGGCGAGCCUGUGAGGGUGAGCGAAUCUCGGAAAGCCGGCCUCAGUUCGGAUUGGGGUCUGCAACUCGACCUCAUGAAGUCGGAGUCGCUAGUAAUCGCAGAUCAGCAACGCUGCGGUGAAUACGUUCCCGGG